UGGGGAAUAUUGGACAAUGGGCGAAAGCCUGAUCCAGCCAUGCCGCGUGUGUGAAGAAGGCCCUCGGGUUGUAAAGCACUUUCAGUGGGGAAGAAAGCCUUGGGAUUAAUACUCCCGAGGAAGGACAUCACCCACAGAAGAAGCACCGGCUAGCUCCGUGCCAGCAGCCGCGGUAAUACGGAGGGUGCGAGCGUUAAUCGGAAUUACUGGGCGUAAAGCGCGCGUAGGCGGUCUGAUAAGCCGGUUGUGAAAGCCCCGGGCUCAACCUGGGAACGGCAUCCGGAGCUGUCAGGCUAGAGUGCAGGAGAGGAAGGUAGAAUUCCCGGUGUAGCGGUGAAAUGCGUAGAGAUCGGGAGGAAUACCAGUGGCGAAGGCGGCCUUCUGGACUGACACUGACGCUGAGGUGCGAAAGCGUGGGUAGCAAACA
rnacentral:rRNA from 1 species